rnacentral:misc_RNA from 1 species
GCAAACUUGGUCAUUUAGAGGAAGUAAAAGUCGUAACAAGGUUUCCGUAGGUGAACCUGCGGAAGGAUCAUUAAAUAAUAGCGUGCGAAAGCGUGCUUUAAACUCUUCUCACAAACCUGAGAAUCAUCUUUCGAGGUGGUUUGAUGGCGCGUGCAGAGUCCCAACCCUUUGUGAACCCAUAACCUUUUUGCUUCGGUAGCACGUUUCCUUUUGGAGGCGGUAAGGCUGCCGAUAGCCCAAUUAUAAACUAUUUGUUUAAAAAUCAUGAAGUCUGAUGUAUGAAAUAAUUUAACAAGUUAAAACUUUCAGCAACGGAUCUCUUGGUUCCCACAUCGAUGAAGAACGCAGC